UGGCUUUGUUCUGAGGACCUACCAAGAUA
rnacentral:piRNA from 1 species